AUUUCUGGAAGGAGCUGCCCAGCUAAGCAGAAGCUGUGCUCAGUGUUUGAGCUGUGCCUGAGGCUGGGUUAUAGAGCAUCUCCUCCGUUGGAUGUCCUGCAGCUGAGGCCAAAGCCGUGCACUUCCCAGCGGGAAGCAGAUCUGUGCUGCACCCUUAGCAGAGGUGGAGAAAUCCUGGGCAGCAGCUCAUGACCAGGAGCAGCAUUUUCAAGAGAAAAAGGGGGCAGCCCAUAACUGAGACAGUUUAAAAGAAGAAAACCUAGAGGUGAACAGAGAGGUGGGGACUUCACACCAAGAAUGCUCUGCCUUCAAACACCUGGUUUCGCUGGACUCAUCUCACAUCUUCGAAUGGUUAAGAUGGAAAAUGAGGAGGGAGAUUGCACAUCUACAAGGAAAUUUCCUUCCUACAUUUAAGGACUACUACUUGUGGAUCUGUGAAGUACUGAGCAAAGUGUCUGGGAAAUCAAGGUGGGGCUCUCAGAGGCUCUGGGAUGGAAAACUAUGGGAAAUUGGAGGUCACCAUGGAAACGUUCGCUGGAGCAGGAAAUGAAACUGCUGUGUUGAUCAAGUGAGUAAUCAUUUAUCUACAGCCCAAAAAGUGCAGUGCACCUACCCUGCCCCUCACGGCUUUGUCUCCUCCAGCAGCCUGGCUGAGGCUCUCCCUGCUUCAGAAGUGUUCUUUGUCUGGAACUGAGAGAGCCCUGCACUUCCCAGCUUGGCUCUCGGGGCUGUUUAAGGUUCAGAUGUCAGCUGUACCCCAGGAUGGUUCCUGGUUUGUUGUCAAUACUGGGAAGGGGGAUUAAUAUCGAUGCUUCUCCUGUUACCCAGAAACUGAAAUAUUAACUCAGCAAACCACCUAAGCUUAAAAUAAUAUAGAAAAGCCCAAGGCCUUAAGUCCUUCCCGUGCUUUAUGCCUCUGUGAAAGAAUGCAGAGCUGGCCUAAGCACGUGCCUGAUGCCUUGUUUGUGACUCUGCUGUGGAGGCAACUGCUUUCCAAAGGAGCAGCUGGGAUUGGGUUCUCCAGCCUUAGAUUUGGGUGAUGUCACCUAUCCUGAAUAACAGUGGCAGUGCAGCACCACAGG